rnacentral:lncRNA from 1 species
AAACAAUACAUUUUUUUUGACUAGUUGAUGCCUAGGCUAGGGGACUCCAAAUCGCAUGAUUUUUGGUGUGUAAGUAGUUUAGAGGUGGUAGAUCACAUCCAAUGCCUUGGAAUCAUCAAUAUGAGACCCCCAUAGUUUGAUUUAGAUCUAAUCGGAUUGGAGCAAAGAUCCACGUGCACUGUCAAAGCCUAUGCUUGCGACGCCCUUUCUCGCUUCCGAGCGGUGAAAGGAUUGGAUUUCACCUAUGAUCAGAUCAAUGGGCAACCAAUUCGUGUUGUUCCUAUUGACGUCGACUUUCAAGCUUAGUUUUUAGUAGGUCGGGAUUUUCAAAGCUGCUCCUAGCUCACACUAUGGUGGUAGAGAUACCGCUAUGAGAUCUGGGAGGGUGAGUAGUGCGAGGUUGAAGGCUCUCAAACUGUUUGGAGACUCAAGCAUAGCCAAGUGUAGCUAGACUUAGCUAAAAUGGAUCUUUGCUCUGAUCCAGUUAGAGCCAUUGGAUGUGAUCUACUGUCUUUAAACUGCUUAUACAUAAAAAAUCAUGAAAUUUGGAGAUCCAAAAUCAUCUGAUCUGGAGACCCAUAGCCCAUGCAUCAAGUGAUCAAAAAAUUGAUCACUUGAUGCAUGGGCUAUGGGUCUCCAGAUUGCAUGAUUUUUGGUAUGUAAGCAAUUUAGAUAUAGUAAACCACAUCUAAUGGCUCGGAUGAUUGAUAUGAGACUUUUAUCACCUAAUCUAGAUAUUAUCGGAUCUGAGUUGAGAUCCUCUUGAGUGUAGCCAAGUCUAGCUACAUAUACAUUUACAGAUAUAUACAUAUAUAUAUAUAUAUGUGUGUGUGUGUGUGUGUGUGUGCAUAUAUAUAUAUAUAUAUGUAUGUAUGUAUGCAUGCAU